rnacentral:rRNA from 1 species
ACACAAAAAUGCACAUGCUGUGAGCUCGAUGAGUAGGGCGGGACACGUGGUAUCCUGUCUGAAUAUGGGGGGACCAUCCUCCAAGGCUAAAUACUCCUGACUGACCGAUAGUGAACCAGUACCGUGAGGGAAAGGCGAAAAGAACCCCGGCGAGGGGAGUGAAAAAGAACCUGAAACCGUGUACGUACAAGCAGUGGGAGCACGCUUCGGCGUGUGACUGCGUACCUUUUGUAUAAUGGGUCAGCGACUUAUAUUCUGUAGCAAGGUUAACCGAAUAGGGGAGCCGAAGGGAAACCGAGUCUUAACUGGGCGUUAAGUUGCAGGGUAUAGACCCGAAACCCGGUGAUCUAGCCAUGGGCAGGUUGAAGGUUGGGUAACACUAACUGGAGGACCGAACCGACUAAUGUUGAAAAAUUAGCGGAUGACUUGUGGCUGGGGGUGAAAGGCCAAUCAAACCGGGAGAUAGCUGGUUCUCCCCGAAAGCUAUUUAGGUAGCGCCUCGUGAAUUCAUCUCCGGGGGUAGAGCACUGUUUCGGCAAGGGGGUCAUCCCGACUUACCAACCCGAUGCAAACUGCGAAUACCGGAGAAUGUUAUCACGGGAGACACACGGCGGGUGCUAACGUCCGUCGUGAAGAGGGAAACAACCCAGACCGCCAGCUAAGGUCCCAAAGUCAUGGUUAAGUGGGAAACGAUGUGGGAAGGCCCAGACAGCCAGGAUGUUGGCUUAGAAGCAGCCAUCAUUUAAAGAAAGCGUAAUAGCUCACUGGUCGAGUCGGCCUGCGCGGAAGAUGUAACGGGGCUAAACCAUGCACCGAAGCUGCGGCAGCGACACUAUGUGUUGUUGGGUAGGGGAGCGUUCUGUAAGCCUGUGAAGGUGUGCUGUGAGGCAUGCUGGAGGUAUCAGAAGUGCGAAUGCUGACAUAAGUAACGAUAAAGCGGGUGAAAAGCCCGCUCGCCGGAAGACCAAGGGUUCCUGUCCAACGUUAAUCGGGGCAGGGUGAGUCGACCCCUAAGGCGAGGCCGAAAGGCGUAGUCGAUGGGAAACAGGUUAAUAUUCCUGUACUUGGUGUUACUGCGAAGGGGGGACGGAGAAGGCUAUGUUGGCCGGGCGA